rnacentral:rRNA from 1 species
AUUGAACGCUGGCGGCAGGCCUAACACAUGCAAGUCGAACGAGUGGCGGACGGGUGAGUAAUGUCUGGGAAACUGCCUGAUGGAGGGGGAUAACUACUGGAAACGGUAGCUAAUACCGCAUACCAUCGGAUGUGCCCAGAUGGCAUUAGCUAGUAGGUGGGGUAACGGCUCACCUAGGCGACGAUCCCUAGCUGGUCUGAGAGGAUGUCCAGCCACACUGGAACUGAGACACGGUCCAGACUCCUACGGGAGGCAGAAUUGGGGAAUAUUGCACAAUAGGCGCAAGCCUGACGCGGCCAUGCCGCGUGAAUGAAGAAGGCCUUCGGGUUGUAAAGUACUUGCAGCGGGGAGGCGUUACCCGCAGAAGAGGCACCGGCUAACUCCAUGCCAGCCGCCGCUGUAAUUC